UACGUAGGGGGCGAGCGUUGUCCGGAUUUAUUGGGCGUAAAGAGCUCGUAGGCGGCUGUUCGAGUCGGGUGUGAAAUCCUGAGGCUUAACCUUGGGUCUGCAUUCGAUACUGGGCGGCUUGAGUCUGGUAGGGGGAUCUGGAAUUCCUGGUGUAGCGGUGGAAUGCGCAGAUAUCAGGAGGAACACCGGUGGCGAAGGCGGCAUUCUGGACCGACAUUGACGCUGAGGCGCGAAAGCGUGGGGAGCAAACAGG
rnacentral:rRNA from 1 species